rnacentral:lncRNA from 1 species
CGCGCGCCCCACCUCCCGCACCGCACCCCACGCGCCACCCCUUUCCCCUUCCCCUUCCGGCCGGCCUCCUCCUUCCCUCGGCCAACGGCGCCCCUUCCCCUACCUCUUCGGCGUGCGGCGCCCCCUCCCGGCCCCUCCCUCUCCUCCCGGCGGGCCGCGUCUCUCUCCUCCAGCCCUCCCUCUCCCGGCCGGGUGGCGCCCCUUCCCCUCCCUCUCCGGCGGACGGCGCCCCCUCCCGGCCCCUCACCAUCGGUCGGGGCGGUCACCUCCCUCCCUCCCUCCGCCACCGGGCAGAUCUGGGCAGCCGGGCCGGCCUCCUUCCUCCCUCCCUCCGCCGCCGGUCAGAUCCGGGCGGCUCGAGGGGAGGGGGCCCUGGAGGAGGUCAAAUCCGGGCGGCGGCCGCGGAUCAAGGGGAGGGAUCUUGGCGGCGGCGCACCCCUGCCCCUCCCCCUCUCCGGCAGAGCCGGCGACGCCGGCCCUCCCCUCACCAGAUCUGGCGGCACUGGCCCUCCCCUCGCCGGAUCCGAUGGCGCCGGGGGCCUCUCUAGAUCCGCGGCGGCGUGGGGCUGUGGGGGUGCGGAGCAGGCGGUGGUGGCAGCAUGGGAGGUGGUGCUAUGGUGGUAGUGCUGGUGGUGGUGGCGGCCGGUGGUGGUGGUGCUGGCGGAGCUGGGAGGUGGUGGCGGCAUGGGAGGUGGUG